rnacentral:rRNA from 1 species
UACGUAGGGGGCAAGCGUUGUCCGGAAUCAUUGGGCGUAAAGCGCGUGUAGGCGGUUCAGUAAGUCUGCUGUGAAAGUCCAGGGCUCAACCCUGGGAUGCCGGUGGAUACUGCUGGGCUAGAGUACGGAAGAGGCGAGUGGAAUUCCAGGUGUAGCGGUGAAAUGCGUAGAUAUCUGGAGGAACACCGGUGGCGAAGGCGGCAUCCUGGGACCGGUACUGACGCUGAGGCACGAAAGCGUGGGGAGCAAAGCAGG